AUACGGGAGGCAGCAGUGGGGAAUUGUUCGCAAUGGGCGCAAGCCUGACGACGCAACGCCGCGUGGAGGAUGAAGAUUUUCGGAUCGUAAACUCCUGUCGAGCGGGACGAACGGCCCGCGACCUAACACGUCGUGGGAGUGACGGUACCGCUAAAGGAAGCCCCGGCUAACUCCGUGCCAGCAGCCGCGGUAAUACGGGGGGGGCAAGCGUUGUUCGGAAUUACUGGGCGUAAAGGGCGCGUAGGCGGCCUUCUAAGUCGGACGUGAAAUCCCUCGGCUUAACCGGGGAACUGCGUCCGAUACUGGCGGGCUUGAAUCCGGGAGAGGGAUGCGGAAUUCCAGGUGUAGCGGUGAAAUGCGUAGAUAUCUGGAGGAACACCGGUGGCGAAGGCGGCAUCCUGGACCGGUAUUGACGCUGAGGCGCGAAAGCCAGGGGAGCAAACGGGAUUAGAUACCCCCGUAGUCCC
rnacentral:rRNA from 1 species